rnacentral:rRNA from 1 species
GAUGAACGCUGGCGGCGUGCCUAAUACAUGCAAGUAGAACGCUGAAGGAGGAGCUUGCUCUUCUGGAUGAGUUGCGAACGGGUGAGUAACGCGUAGGUAACCUGCCUGGUAGCGGGGGAUAACUAUUGGAAACGAUAGCUAAUACCGCAUGACAACAGUUAUUGCAUGAUAACUGUUUAAAAGGGGCAACUGCUCCACUACCAGAUGGACCUGCGUUGUAUUAGCUAGUUGGUGGGGUAACGGCUCACCAAGGCGACGAUACAUAGCCGACCUGAGAGGGUGAUCAGCCACACUGAGACUGAGACACGGCCCAGACGCCUACAGGAGGCAGCAGUAGGGAAUCGGCGGCAAUGGACGGAAGUCUGACCGAGCAACGCCGCGUGAGUGAAGAAGGUUUUCGGAUCGUAAAGCUCGGUUGUAAGAGAAGAACGAGUGUGAGAGUGGAAAGUUCACACUGUGACGGUAACUUACCAGAAAGGGACGGCUAACUACGUG